AGGUCAAGCUACAAAGGGCGCAUGGUGAAUGCCUUGGCAUCAGGAGCCGAUGAAGGACGCGAUAAGCUGCGAUAAGCUUCGGGUAGACGCACAUAGUCAGAGAUCCGAAGAUUUCCGAAUGAGGAAACUCACAUGGGAAACCCCAUGUAUCGUAAAGUGAAUACAUAGCUUUAUGAAGGUAAACCCAGGGAACUGAAACAUCUAAGUACCUGGAGGAAGAGAAAGAAAAAUCGAUUUUCUUAGUAGCGGCGAGCGAAAGGGAAAGAGCCCAAACCAAAGAUUUAUCUUUGGGGUUGCGGACAGAACAUUAACGAGAAAUUAUGGUUAACCGAACACAACUGGAAAGUUGGACCGUAGGGGGUAAUAGUCCUGUAGGUGAAAAUUAUAAUGAUCAAGUUCUGAUCCAGAGUACCACGAGACACGUGAAACCUUGUGGGAAGCAGGGAGGACCACCUCCCAAGGCUAAAUACUACCUGAUGACCGAUAGUGAAGCAGUACCGUGAGGGAAAGGUGAAAAGAACCCCGGGAGGGGAGUGAAAUAGAACCUGAAACCAUGUGCCUACAACCGAUCAAAGCACCUUAUGUGUGUGAUGAUGUGCUUUUUGUAGAACGAGCCAACGAGUUACGGUAUGUAGCAAGGUUAAGUACUUAAGGUACGGAGCCGAAGGGAAACCGAGUCUUAAUAGGGCGACUAGUUGCAUGCUGUAGACCCGAAACCGGGUGACCUAUCCAUGGCCAGGUUGAAGCGAGGGUAAAACCUCGUGGAGGACCGAACCACGUUGCUGUUGAAAAAGCAUGGGAUGAGCUGUGGAUAGCGGAGAAAUUCCAAUCGAACUCGGAUAUAGCUGGUUCUCCUCGAAAUAGCUUUAGGGCUAGCGUCGGAAAAUGUGAGUACUGGGGGUAGAGCACUGAAUGGGCUAGGGGGCAUAGCGCUUACCGAACCUUAUCAAACUCCGAAUACCAGAUACUAUCAGUCCGGCAGUCAGACUGCGAAAGAUAAGUUCCGUAGUCAAAAGGGAAACAGCCCAGAUCGUCAGCUAAGGUCCCAAAGUGUAAGUUAAGUGGAAAAGGAUGUGGGAUUUCUAAGACAACUAGGAUGUUGGCUUAGAAGCAGCCACUCAUUAAAAGAGUGCGUAAUAGCUCACUAGUCAAGAGAUCCUGCGCCGAAAAUGUCCGGGGCUCAAACUUACCACCGAAGCUACGGGUUCACACAAUAGUGUGAGCGGUAGAGGAGCGUCGUAAUCGGGCUGAAGUCGUACCGUAAGGAGCGGUGGACUGAUUACGAGUGAGAAUGUUGGCAUUAGUAGCGAGAUGUGGGUGAGAAUCCCACAGGCCGAAUACCUAAGGUUUCCUCAGGAAGGUUCGUCCGCUGAGGGUUAGUCGGGACCUAAGCUGAGGCCGAAAGGCGUAAGCGAUGGACAAUCGGUUGAUAUUCCGAUACCACUAUUAUCGUUAUUAUCGAUGGUGUGACGGAGAAGGAUAGGAUGUGCUAGCUAUUGGAUGCUAGUCUAAGCGUUUAGGGAGUUAGAAUAGGCAAAUCCGUUCUAACAAUUCUGAGGCGUGAUGGGGAAGGUUCUAAGGAACCGAAGUAUCUGAUUCCAUGCUUCCAAGAAAAGCAUCUAGAAAGAGAAAUAGUGCCCGUACCGCAAACCGACA
rnacentral:rRNA from 1 species